CUCACAAGAUCAUGACACGUGUCA
rnacentral:siRNA from 1 species